UGAAGAUAACCUCCUAGCUCAAACUACAGAAGUGAAGAUAACCUCCUAGGUUAUCUUCACUUCUGUAGUUUGAGCUAGGAGGUUAUUUU
rnacentral:pre_miRNA from 1 species